rnacentral:rRNA from 1 species
CGAAGGGUGCAAGCGUUAAUCGGAAUUAUUGGGCGUAAAGAGCUCGUAGGUGGUUUGUUACGUCUGCUGUGAAAACCUAGGGCUUAACCCUGGGCCUGCAGUGGAUACGGGCAGACUAGAGGUAGGUAGGGGAGAAUGGAAUUCCCAGUGUAGAGGUGAAAUUCGUAGAUAUUGGGAAGAACACCGGUGGCGAAGGCGGCGACCUGGUCCUUUUACUGACGCUGAGGCGCGAAAGCGUGGGGAGCAAACAGG